rnacentral:lncRNA from 1 species
AGAUGGAAUAUGAGGAGGUUGCUGAGAGCUGGGAGGAGACGGCAGACAGCGGGGAAAUAGACGUCUGGAAAAAAAACUGAAGAUCACACAGAAAGCAGGAAAUUCAAAUCUCCCAAAGUGCCCAUUGUGAUUCAGGAUGAUAAUUUUCCCCCGGGACCCCCUCCACAGGUCCGCAUCCUCAAGAGGCCCACCAGCAACGGUGUGGUCAGCAGCCCCAAGUCCGCUAGCAGGCCCGCCCUUCCAGUCAAGUCCCUGGCACAGUGGGAAGCCGAGUACACCGAGGCCAGGAAGCGGAUCCUGGGCAGCGCCAACCCGAGGAGAAGCAGGAGAAACCCAUCCUCGAUAGGUCUUCCUCUGAUCUUCUUCCCUUCAGGCCAACCAGGAUCUCCUAACCCGAAGACAGCAGACAGCCCAAUAAUGUGAUCAGACAGCCUCUGGGUCCUGAUGGGUCACACGGCUUCAAACAGCG